ensembl:lncRNA
UUAAUGAGGGGAUCAUGUUCUGAGAAAUGUGUAGGUACAGAUUUCCUCAUUUUUUGCACAUCACAGAGUACACGCACACAAACCUAAAUGGGACAGCCUACUACACACCUAGGUUCCCAGGCUGCGAACCUGUGCACCAUGUUACUGUGCUGAACGCUCUGGGCAAUUGCAGCAGAAUGGUAAGUAUCUGUGUAUCCAAACAUGUCUAAAUAUGGAAAAAGGACCAGGCCCGGUAGCUCACGCCUGUAACCCCAGUACUUUGGGAGACCAAGAGAGGAGGAUCCCUUGAGCCCAGGAGUUUGAGACCAGACUAAGCAAUAUAAUGAAAUUCUUGAUGAAUUUUUUAAAAAAACCAGCUGGGCAUAGAGGUGCACAUCUGUGGUUCCAACUACUUGGGAGGCUGAGGUAGGAGGAUUGCUUGAGCCCGUGAAGUGGAGGCUGCAGUGAGCCAUGAUCAAACCACCACACUCCAGUAUAGGAAACAGUAAGACCCUGUCUCUAAACAAAGAAAGAAAACGUAUAGUAAAAAUCCAGUAUUAAAAUCGAAUGAGACCAAUGUUUUAUAUGCGAUUUGUCACUGACUGAAACAUUGUUAUGUGUUGCAUGGCUUGCAUUAACAUGUCUAAAUAACCACAGAGGACUAGACAUUCAUUGGACCUAUCACCUGCUUCUUUUUUUUUUUUUUUUUGAGUCUUGCUCUGUCACCCAGGCUGGAGUGAGGCUGGAGUGCAUCUCAGCUCACUGCAAGCUCCGCCUCCGGGUUUCACUCCAUUUUCCCACCUCAGCCUCCCAAAUAGCUGGGACUACAGGUACCCGCUGCCACGCCAGGCUAAUUUUUUUGUAUUUUUAAUAGAGACGGGGCUUCACCAUGUUGGCCAGGAUGGUCUCGAUCUCCUGACCUCGUGAUACGCCCACCUCGGCCUCCCAAAGUGCUGGGAUUACAGGCGUGAACCACCACAUCCAGCCUCAUCUGCUUCUUAAAUGAGCAUGUGGUAUUAGGCCCUGGAGGUAAUGAUCAGCACUUAAAAUACUCCCUGGCACAUACUGAGUGCCCCAAAAUAUUUGUUGAUAAAUGAAUGGAUGGAUCAAUGAAUGAGAAAAAGAAUUCUAUUUGUAGGAGAAAAGAGGAUUAUGUGCCAAAAACUAAGCAACCAAACUCAGUUUUUGAAUUCUUUUACUCAGCAUCUCAAAUUUAAAACUUUUGGUUCAACAGCCUGUAUUUACAUAGGCUAUUGUUUAGAACAGUUGAUACAGCUUUCAAACAAAGCAGCAUGUACAACAUUUGUUGCAGCUCUGUAUAUGGUAGCUAACGGUUACGGCCUGUAAUCCCAGCACUUUGUGAGGCCCAAGUGGGAGGACUGUUUGAGGCCAGGAGUUCAAGACCAGCCUGGGCAACACAGCAAGACCCCGUCUCUAUAAAAAAUUUUCAAAAUUAGCUGGGUGUGCUGGCACGUGUCUGUAGUCCUAGCUACUUGGUAGGCUGAGGCAGGAGGAUCUCUUGAGCUCAGGACUUCCUCUUGGUGAGCUGUGAUUGCACCACUGCACUCCAGCCUGUGUUAUAGAGCAAGACCCCAUCUCAAAAAAAAAAAAA